GACGAAUGCUGGCUGCGUGCUUAACACAUGCAAGUCGAACGGUGAAGGAGGGCUUGCCCUCCGGAUCAGUGGCGAACGGGUGAGUAACACGUGGGCAACCUGCCCCUCACUCUGGGAUAACGCCGGGAAACCGGCGCUAAUACCGGAUACGACCAGGCGCGACAUCUCGCCUGGUGGAAAGAAUUUCGGUGAGGGAUGGGCCCGCGGCCUAUCAGCUUGUUGGUGGGGUAACGGCCCACCAAGGCGACGACGGGUAGCCGGCCUGAGAGGGCGACCGGCCACACGGGGACUGAGACACGGCUCAGACUCCUACGGGAGGCAGCAGUGGGGAAUAGUGCGCAAUGGGCGAAAGCCUGACGCAGCGACGCAGCGUGAGGGACGAAGGCCUUCGGGUUGUAAACCUCUUUCAGCGGGGACGAAGCGAAAGUGACGGUACCCGCAGAAGAAGCACCGGCUAACUACGUGCCAGCAGCCGCCGUAACAC
rnacentral:rRNA from 1 species